AUUGAACGCUGGCGGCAGGCUUAACACAUGCAAGUCGAGCGAGCGGCGGACGGGUGAGUAAUGUCUGGGAAACUGCCUGAUGGAGGGGGAUAACUACUGGAAACGGUAGCUAAUACCGCAUACCAUCAGAUGUGCCCAGAUGGGAUUAGCUAGUAGGUGGGGUAAUGGCUCACCUAGGCGACGAUCCCUAGCUGGUCUGAGAGGAUGACGAGCCACACGGGAACGGAGAAACGGUCCAGACUCCUACGGGAGGCAGCAGUGGGGAAUAGUGCAAAAUGGGCGAAAGCCUGAUGAAGCCAUGCCGCGUGUGGGAAGAAGGCCUUCGGGUUGUAAAGCACUUUCAGCGGGGAGGCGUUACCGGCAGAAGAAGCACCGGCUAACUCCGUGCCAGCAGCCGCGGUAAUAC
rnacentral:rRNA from 1 species